rnacentral:rRNA from 1 species
AAACUCAAAGGAAUUGACGGGGCCCCGCACAAGCGGCGGAGCAUGCGGAUUAAUUCGAUGCAACGCGUAGAACCUUACCUGGGUUUGACAUGGAUCGGGAGUGCUCAAAGAUGGGUGUGCCUCUUUUGGGGUCGGUUCACAGGUGGUGCAUGGCUGUCGUCAGCUCGUGUCAUGAGAUGUUGGGUUAAGUCCCGCAACGAGCGCAACCCUUGUUCACUGUUGCCAGCACGUUAUGGUGGGGACUCAGUGGAGACCGCCGGGGUCAACUCGGAGGAAG